rnacentral:rRNA from 1 species
GACGAACGCUGGCGGCGUGCCUAAUACAUGCAAGUCGAACGGAGUGGCGAACGGGUGAGUAACACGUGGGUGACCUGCCCUGCACUUCGGGAUAAGCCUGGGAAACUGGGUCUAAUACCGGACAGUGUGGGAUGGGGGUGGGGCCUAUCAGCUUGUUGGUGGGGUAUUGGCCUACCAAGGCGGCGACGGGUAGCCGGCCUGAGAGGGUGGACGGCCACAGUGUGACAGGGGCGGGGGCAGGGGGGAAACGGGAGGCAGGGGUGUGAAGCUGUGCGCGAAAGGCGGAGGGAUGGAGGAGGGACGCCGGGUGGGAGAGGUCGGCGUUCGGGGAGGAAACGCCUUUGGCCAUCGACGCGGUAGAUGAAGAAGAAGCACCGGCUAACUACGUGCCAGCAGCCGCGGUAAUUC